AAACUCUGUUGGGGGGUGUUUGGGGAGUGUGAAGGAAUGUUGAGUGAAGUAGGGCAGGAAGGAACCCAAGGACUGAGGGUAGCAGCUCUGGCACAGUGCAGAGCUUGUAUCUCUGUGCAUUUGGGAUGGCUUGAGAAACGCUGAGAGAGAAUGAAGCAGUUACAGUGCCUGACUUCAGCCUCACUGUCUGGAACCAAGGAGAAGAAAAUGGGCACAGCAGGUAAUGGGAGCAGAGCACAGGGUCAUUCUCCAGCCCUGACCUCAAUGGGAGGAGGAGGCUUCCCAUUGCACACCCAAGCUGCAGCAGCACCUACAGGCUUGCUUCUAUUGUUCACCCCAGCUGUGCCCCUGAGGAUCCUUCUCAGUCUGCAUAGGAUCACUGUUAAUUCUCAUUCUCUGAGCUGGAUGUGAUUGCAGCAAUGCCCACAGCCCCCUGGGGAGCCGCCAGCCCUGCUGCUGGAGCCACAGCGUGUCUGCAGGGUGCCUGGCGGGUCAGCAUCUAAGCAGACAAGAUGGAUGCACAGCACAGCUGAAAGAAACACAGCGACUCCCAUUUCAGAGGCAGGAGAAAUGGAGCAGAAAAAAAGAUGAAGGCCCCGGUCUCCUCUGUGGAAAGUUUUGCU
rnacentral:lncRNA from 7 species